CAUGCCCCUUAUACGCUGGGCUACACACGUGCUACAAUGGGUAGAACAGAGAGUCGCAAAGCUGUGAAGUGGAGCUAAUCUCAGAAAACUAUUCUUAGUUCGGAUUGUACUCUGCAACUCGAGUACAUGAAGUUGGAAUCGCUAGUAAUCGCGAAUCAGCAAUGUCGCGGUGAAUACGUUCUCGGGUCUUGUACACACCGCCCGUCACACCACGAGAGUUGGUUGCACCUGAAGUAGCAGGCCUAACCGUAAGGAGGGAUGCUCCGAGGGUGUGAUUAGCGAUUGGGGUGAAGUCGUAACAAGGUAUCCGUACGGGAACGUGCGGAUGGAUCACCUCCUUUCUAAGGAGUAUAAGUCUUUCUCUAUUCUAUUGGUAAUGUUCUUUACAUUACUUCUGAACAUUGGAAACUAUAUAGUAGAACAAACAAGAAAAAAAUUAACUCUAACAAUUUCUUAGAGUUAGCUGUCAAAAAAUAGGUUAAAAUAAUUAAGGGCACACAAAGGAUGCCUAGGUAGUAAGAGCCGAUGAAGGACGUGGUAAGCUGCGAUAAGCCUAG
rnacentral:sRNA from 1 species